GAUGAACGCUAGCGGCAGGCCUAAUACAUGCAAGUCGAACGGUGUCUUCGGACAUAGUGGCGCACGGGUGCGUAACACGUAUGCAACCUACCUUACAUUGGGGGAUAGCCUUUCGAAAGGGAGAUCAAUACCGCAUAAGACAGUAGUCUGGCAUCAGACAGCUGUUAAAGAUUUAUCGAUGUAAGCUGGGCAUGCGUCCAAUUAGUUAGUUGGCGAGGUAACGGCUCACCAAGACUAUGAUUGGUAGGGGAACUGAGAGGUCAAUCCCCCACACUGGCACUGAGAUACGGGCCAGACUCCUACGGGAGGCAGCAGUAGGGAAUAUUGGGCAAUGGACGCAAGUCUGACCCAGCCAUGCCGCGUGCAGGAAGAAGGCGUUAUGCGUUGUAAACUGCUUUUAUACAGGAAGAAACGACUCUUGCGAGAGGCAUUGACGGUACUGUAUGAAUAAGCACCGGCUAACCCCGUGCCAGCAGCCGCCGUAACAC
rnacentral:rRNA from 1 species